rnacentral:rRNA from 1 species
CCCUUAGAUGUCCUGGGCCGCACGCGUGCUACACUGACGCCUACAGCGAGUACUUCCCAGCCCCGAGAGGCGGCUGGUAAUCAGCAAUAGGCGUCGUGAUGGGGAUAGAUCUUUGGAAUUAUGGAUCUUGAACGAGGAAUGCCUAGUAAGCGCAGGUCAUUAGCCUGCGCUGAUUACGUCCCUGCCCUUUGUACACACCGCCCGUCGCACCUACCGAUUGAAUGGUCCGGUGAAAUCUCGGGACGGCGGCUUGGUCGCUUGCGUCCGACUGCUGAAACUUGAUUAAACCAUAUCAUUUAGAGGAAGGUGAAGUCGUAACA